CUUAACACAUGCAAGUCGAGGGGCAGCGCGGAGUAGCAAUACUCUGGCGGCGACCGGCGCACGGGUGAGUAACGCGUAUCCAACCUUCCCCUUAGUAGAGGAUAGCCCGGCGAAAGUCGGAUUAAUACUCUAUGUUGUGUUUUGAGGACAUCUGACGAACACCAAAGGUUCACCGCUAAGGGAUGGGGAUGCGUCUGAUUAGCUUGUUGGCGGGGUAACGGCCCACCAAGGCUACGAUCAGUAGGGGUUCUGAGAGGAAGGUCCCCCACAUUGGUACUGAGACACGGACCAAACUCCUACGGGAGGCAGCAGUGAGGAAUAUUGGUCAAUGGGCGAGAGCCUGAACCAGCCAAGUAGCGUGCAGGACGACUGCCCUAUGGGUUGUAAACUGCUUUUAUAGGGGAAUAAAGUGAGGUACGUGUACCUUUUUGUAUGUACCCUAUGAAUAAGGACCGGCUAAUUCCGUGCCAGCAGCCGCGGUAAUACGGAAGGUCCGGGCGUUAUCCGGAUUUAUUGGGUUUAAAGGGAGCGCAGGCUGGAUUUUAAGCGUGCUGUGAAAUGUACCGGCUCAACCGGUGACGUGCAGCGCGAACUGGAGUCCUUGAGUGAGUACGAGGUAUGCGGAAUUCGUGGUGUAGCGGUGAAAUGCUUAGAUAUCACGAAGAACUCCGAUUGCGAAGGCAGCAUACCAGUCCUUAACUGACGCUAAAGCUCGAAAGUGCGGGUAUCGAACAGGAUUAGAUACCCUGGUAGUCCGCACGGUAAACGAUGGAUGCCCGCUGUUGGCGAUAUACUGUCAGCGGCCAAGCGAAAGCGUUAAGCAUCCCACCUGGGGAGUACGCCGGCAACGGUGAAACUCAAAGGAAUUGACGGGGGCCCGCACAAGCGGAGGAACAUGUGGGUUUAUUCGAUGAUACGCGAGGAACCUUACCCGGGCUUGAACUGCAGAGGAAGGAUCUAGAGAUAGUGACGCCCUUCGGGGCCUCUGUGGAGGUGCUGCAUGGGUUGUCGUCAGCUCGUGCCGUGAGGGUGUCGGCUUAGUGCCAUAACGAAGCGCAACCCUUUCUCAGUUUGCAUCAGGUUAGCUGGGCACCUCUGGAGACUCCUGCCUCGUAGGGUGUGAAGUAAGUGGG
rnacentral:rRNA from 1 species